rnacentral:rRNA from 1 species
CGCUGGCGGCGUGCAUAACACAUGCAAGUCGAACGAUGAAACUUAACUGAUUUCUUCGGAAUGAUUUUAAGUGGAUUAGUGGCGGACGGGUGAGUAACGCGUGAGUAACCUGCCUUGCACAAGGGGAUAGCCGUUGGAAACGACGAAUAAUACCCUAUGAUAUAAACUCUUCGCAUGAAGGGCUUAUCAAAGAUUUAUCGGUGUAAGAUGGACUCGCGUCUGAUUAGCUAGUUGGUGGGAUAAAAGCCUACCAAGGCAACGAUCAGUAGCCGGCUUGAGAGAGUGUACGGCCACAUUGGGACUGAGACACGGCCCAGACUCCUACGGGAGGCAGCAGUGGGGAAUUUUGCACAAUGGGGGCAACCCUGAUGCAGCGACGCCGCGUGAUUUAGAAGGCCUUCGGGUUGUAAAAAUCUUUUGUAUGGGAAGAAAAUGACAGUACCAUACGAAUAAGGACCGGCUAAUUACGUGCCAGCAGCCGCGGUAAUACGUAAGGUCCGAGCGUUGUCCGGAAUCAUUGGGCGUAAAGGGUACGUAGGCGGAUAAGCAAGUUAGAAGUGAAAUCCUAUAGCUCAACUAUAGUAAGCUUUUAAAACUGCUCAUCUUGAGGUAUGGAAGGGAAAGUGGAAUUCCUAGUGUAGCGGUGAAAUGCGCAGAUAUUAGGAGGAAUACCGGUGGCGAAGGCGACUUUCUGGCCAUAAACUGACGCUGAGGUACGAAAGCGUGGGUAGCAAACAGGAUUAGAUACCCUGGUAGUCCACGCCGUAAACGAUGAGUGUUAGGUGUCUGGAAUAAUCUGGGUGCCGCAGCUAACGCAAUAAACACUCCGCCUGGGGAGUACGCACGCAAGUGUG